GAUGUAACCCAAGGCUCUCCCCGGCUCCCCACCACACCCUGCUGCUGAAGACUGCCUAGCGAGGCUGUGCUGAGUGUUGGGG
rnacentral:miRNA from 1 species